CUGUUGUGGCGGUUUUGCUUUGUUACAACGGUUUCGAUACGUGGUGCACGCCGUUCUCAUUCCUGGCGUCAAACCAUACCGCAACUCGGAUUCUGUCAUGAACAGAGACGGCCGUUCUUUCGCAAUAGUCAGAUUUACUGACGAAAAUGAUGAGGUGGCCGUUGUCCCCAGCAGUUGGAUCGUUGAUAAUCACUGCAUGUGGCCACCAGUGAAAAGCUCUCAAAUCCCAAGCCUUGUAAGGAGAUCUGUUCAUCCGAUGCCAAACUGGGCUGAGUGCCCAUGCAAGCCUAUGGAAUGGUUUGGAUCAUAUGAUGAAGCAAGGAUAAAACUUCCAUUUGCUGUGGAGACCUCAGACUUGUGUACAGAGAAGGUACUACCGCCGAAAAGGAAACGUGCAAGGCGUCGAAUUUCCUCGGGCGAUGAUUCUGAUGAACUCUCAGAUUCUGGUCUUCCUCUGUUUCCCUCACCACCUCAUUCUCAACGUCACACAGGCUACGUCACAACGUCACACAGGAUGUCGGUGCUGUCCAGAAAGGAGAAAAGAAAGGAUACUACAACUCAUGGCUGAUC